rnacentral:rRNA from 1 species
CACYUCUAGCAUAACAAGUAUUAGAGGCACUGCCUGCCCGGUGACUAUUAAAGUUAAACGGCCGCGGUAUCCUGACCGUGCAAAGGUAGCAUAAUCACUUGUUCUUUAAAUAAGGACUAGUAUGAAAGGCUUGACGAGGGUUUAACUGUCUCUUGCUUAUAGUCAGUGAAAUUGACCUCCCCGUGAAGAGGCGGGGAUAAAAUAAUAAGACGAGAAGACCCUAUGGAGCUUAAAUUCAUUAAUUCAUUUUUAUAUUGACAAAUCAAUGAGAAAUAAAAAACAAAUUAUGAAUUAACAAUUUUGGUUGGGGUGACCUCGGAGCAAAAACAAACCUCCGAAUGAUACUAACUUAGACACACAAGUCAAAGUUUUCAUCAUAAAUUGACCCAGUAACUAACUGAUCAACGAACCAAGUUACCCUAGGGAUAACAGCGCAAUCCUAUUUUAGAGUCCAUAUCGACAAUAGGGUUUACGACCUCGAUGUUGGAUCAGGACCCCCAAAUGGUGCAACCGCUAUUUAUGGUUCGUUUGUUCAACGAUUAAAGUCCU